GUCUUCGUGGUGUAAUGGCAGCACACUCGGCGCGUAUCCGAGAGGUCCGAGGUUCGAGUCCCGGCAAGGGCA
rfam:Stegodyphus mimosarum contig62215, whole genome shotgun sequence.